rnacentral:rRNA from 1 species
CCUACGGGUGGCAGCAGUGAGGAAUAUUGGUCAAUGGACGAGAGUCUGAACCAGCCAAGUAGCGUGAAGGAUGACUGCCCUAUGGGUUGUAAACUUCUUUUAUAAAGGAAUAAAACGAGGCACGUGUGCCUUUUUGCAUGUACUUUAUGAAUAAGGAUCGGCUAACUCCGUGCCAGCAGCCGCGGUAAUACGGAGGAUCCGAGCGUUAUCCGGAUUUAUUGGGUUUAAAGGGAGCGUAGAUGGGUUGUUAAGUCAGUUGUGAAAGUUUGCGGCUCAACCGUAAAAUUGCAAUUGAUACUGGCAGUCUUGAGUACAGUUGAGGUAGGCGGAAUUCGUGGUGUAGCGGUGAAAUGCUUAGAGAUCAUACAGAACACCGAUUGCGAAGGCAGCUUACCAAACUAUAUCUGACGUUGAGGCACGAAAGCGUGGGUAGCAAACAGGAUUAGAUACCCUAGUAGUC